UCCAUCCAUAUUUUUCCUUUUAAAAUUUUAGAAGUUCUACUUUCCCAAAGUUUCUAGGUUUUCAGAAUGGGUCUCGUCGAAAACAUUCCUCUCCCUAAAUCUGAUGCUAGUCGCCUAAAUCGUCUCAGAAUCACAUCGGGUGAGCACCCUUUCGGCACUAGAUCCCGAGGCCAUUCUUCUCCACCCUCGUCUUUGAAGUGGCGAUUUGAAUCUUCCCCGCUAAGCACAGAACAUGUCCUAUGGAAUCUCCGGUGUUCAAAUUGCUUGAUGUGGAGAGGAUGAUUGGUGCUGGGUCUUUCUUUCCAUUUGGAGUCUUACACGAGGAGUGCACAUUACAUUGUCGGUGGGCUUGUCUCUUCAAAUCCACUACCUGUUCCACAAGUUUCAAGCCUUCUACAGAAAUGGAUGUAAAAGUCGUACUUGGAUGAGGUUAUCUUUAACAUUUGUCAAGGUAGUGUCAUAAUUUGAAAGUAUGGCUUGUGAAUCAUUGAAACUCAUCUACCUGGUGCAAUUCUCUCUCCUUUUAUUUUUUGCCUAUCUAUUGUUUGACAAUACGUUUGAAUGAAAUUUGUAACUGAAGUCACCAUCCGAGCACCCAUAUAUGAUGGGAGUGAAAAAAAUUUAGUUGUGAAUGAAUUUCUACCAACAUAGCUUUACAAUUACGGAGACAUUUGAAGUGUACUAAUUUCUACCCAUAUUUGAAGUGUACUAAUUUUGCAA